GUGUUUCGUCCUUUGUCAACCAGGUCAUGCCGCCAGUGCCGCUCCUCAGGCCAGCUCCCCGCCAGACUACACAAUGGCCUGGGCGGAGUAUUACAGACAGCAGGUCGCUUUCUACGGGCAGACACUAGGGCAGGCGCAGGCCCACAGCCAGGAGCAGUAGACAACGUCCUCGUGCCUGGUUUUCCCCUCGAAAUUGUUGUGAAAGAAAACCUAUUUGUAACAGAGGUUUUUAGAUUUGCAAACCUUUUGAUGAAGAACAUUUGUUUUGUUCUGUGAAACACUAUAUUUAGAUUAACAAUUUUUCUAAAAAUUGGGAAAAUUAGUUACUAAAAAUUGCUUAUAAUUUUGUUUCAUUAUUUUUGUUUGUUAUUUCAAACGUGUAAGCUCUGGGAUUCUUUUUGGAGCAAUACCUGCAAAUUCAGGCACCAGAAUGUGCCUCAGAGCAGUGACAUUUCAACAUCGUGUUUUUUGUUUUGUUUUGUUUUGUUUUCGUGUCUUUUUAUUUACGGUUUUUUCUGUUGCAACAGAAAGUGGCUUGGAAGUCUUAGGUGGUAUGUAACAAAUUCUUUAAAAAAAAUUUUAAACAGUAUUUAAAUAUUCUUUAAUGUGUAAAUUCAUUAAAUGUUUUACUUCUAAUUUCUUGUAUCUUGGCUGUCUGGUUUUAUUGCAUUUUUUAAAAAAACUGAACUAUUAUGUAUUGUAAUUAAUUAUGUGAAUUCUGAUUGAGACAGAUAAUUGUAUUGCUGUCCAGCGGGGAUGGGGGGGACAUUUUAUAGGGUUUGUAUAAUUUCUAGAGUUCUAAAGGGGUAAUAUAAAAAUGUGUUCAUGUGUUUAGCCUACUUUUCUUCAUGUCUCCAUUACUGGCUGCAAUUGUAUAUCUAAGACCUCCAAGCUUGUUUUAAAAACAAAACAAAAAACCUUUCUCUAUUCUCUGAAAUAUAAAUAGUGUUAUUUUUAAUAUUAAAAAAUUCAAUUUAACUUUUAACAAACACUGUGGAACAUUAAACCAUAUAAAAAUGUAGUAACUAUUUUUUAAUUCCAAGGUGUUUUUUGCUUUUUCUUUUAAAUAUUUUCUUAAUAUUUGUCAAAUUAACUAGAUGAAUAAAUAAAUCUAGUAUUAACCACAGAAUGAAUUAAAUAAUUUUGAUUUAAUAAAAGGGAUAAUAUGAUUUCCGAUGUUUACUGUAGUGUAUCUUGUACAGAUAACAUGUAUUUUUAAAGGAAAAAAAACGGAAUUGAAGCUAUUUUUUCUUGCAUUUUUAAUUGACCUGAGGGACAUUCCGUUUGAAAUGUACUGACGUUACAGUUUCUGGCUUUUUCUUCUUAUUUUCCUUAUAAUGCUUGAAAUGUCUAACUAUUAAAAAGGCAAUUGGAAAAUGUUAUGCAUGUUUUUUUAAAAAAUGUUCAUUUUAUUUGACUGACAAUUCAUUUUACACUCUAUAUAAUAAAAUUUCCACAAGACGUCUUGUGGGCGAAGUA